GUCAAUUUGGUCAAGUGAAGAAGUAGCAAUUAUCUGCCAAUGCUUUGGGAAAAUAAGUAAUGUUGUCUAUGGAGGCCAGGCAUCUUAGUUCAUCCAGAAAUAUAAAUGGGACAAACAUUUUUAACCCCUGAAUAUAUAGUUGUGAUCCAAUCAGACAAAGCCCUAACAUUUCCAGCAUUCUGUCUAGAUUGACUGGGUUCAGGGCUAAAUGAAAAUAGAGAUAUGGAGAAAUGCUUAUUUAAAGGUAAUAGUUAACUAACAUUCAACUUCAUGGAAAGAUAAGUAAUUGAGUUGAGAUGAAGCAACUAACAAUAUGUUAGAGGUUAAAAAUAAUAGUUUGCAGCAUUGUAACCUCUAUUUGACAUUUGAGUUCAGCUGUAAUUAUUGAUAGCAUUAAAAGGCCUUAAUUUUUCUUGCUGGUAAAGGUACGUGUACUUAGACUGGUCAUUUAGAGUAGUGUUUUAACAUAGUAUUACUGUGAAAAACAUUCCAUUACAAAUUCACAAGCAAAUUACUGCACAUUUAAAAAAUUGUACUUUUCAAUUUACUGCAAGUA
rnacentral:lncRNA from 1 species